rnacentral:rRNA from 1 species
GACGAACGCUGGCGGCGUGCUUAACACAUGCAAGUCGAACGGAAAGGCCCUGCUUUUGUGGGGUGCUCGAGUGGCGAACGGGUGAGUAACACGUGAGUAACCUGCCCUUGACUUUGGGAUAACUUCAGGAAACUGGGGCUAAUACCGGAUAGGAGCUCCUGCUGCAUGGUGGGGGUUGGAAAGUUUCGGCUGGGGAUGGACUCGCGGCUUAUCAGCUUGUUGGUGGGGUAGUGGCUUACCAAGGCGUUGACGGGUAGCCGGCCUGAGAGGGUGACCGGCCACAUUGGGACUGAGAUACGGCCCAGACUCCUACGGGAGGCAGCAGUGGGGAAUAUUGCACAAUGGGCGGAAGCCUGAUGCAGCAACGCCGCGUGCGGGAUGACGGCCUUCGGGUUGUAAACCGCUUUCGCCUGUGACGAAGCGUGAGUGACGGUAAUGGGUAAAGAAGCACCGGCUAACUACGUG